UGCUGUGUAACAGAGUACCCCAAGACCGUUGCUUUAAAUAAUGAACAUUUAGUAUUUCACAGUUUCUGUGUGUCAGGAAUCUGGGUACAGCUCAGCUGGGUGCCUCUGCCUCAAGGUCUAGCCUGGAGUUAUGAUCACAUCUGAAGGCUCGGUGGGGGGGUCUGCUUCUGAACUCACUCAUGGGUGUUGGCAGGAUUCAGGUCCACACAGGUCUUUCAGCCGGUGUUGUCAUUUCCUCACUGGCUAUCGACCUCAGCUCCUUGCUAUGUAGGCUUAUCCCUGGGGCAGCUCACAACAUGAUAGAAGAAGAAAGGGAGACUAGUGAGGAAGACAGGAAGAAUACAUGAGAAAGAGACUGGGGAGCAAAAGUGCAACUCAAGUGUCUUUGUAACCUCAUGUUGAAAGUGUAGUUCUAUCACUUUUGCAAAUUCUGUUCAUUAGAAGAGCAUAACUAGGAGCUCCUUUUGUGGCUCAGCAGGUUGAAGACCUGAUGUCUCUGUGAGGAUGUGGGUUUGAUCCCUGGCCUCGCUCAGUGGGUUAAGGUUCUGGCAUUGCCAUAAGCUGCCUAGUGUUGCCAUGGCUGCAGCAUAGGCCUCAGGUGCAGCUCCUAGCCUGGGAAUUUCCAUAUGCCAUAUGCUGCAGGAUCAUUUGCAAAAAACAAAAACAAAAACAAAAAAAAAAGAGAGAGAGAGAGAGAGAGAAAGAGAGAGAGGGGCCCUAGUGGUUAAUUUCCAGUUGACAUUUGGCAUUUGAAAUGAGAAUUUUAUGAAUUAUCAAAACUUUUAUCUGAUGAGUUUAUGGAAACUCACCUAAGGAGAUAAUUCUUUUUUUAAAAAAUAACUCUACUUGAUAGGAUUAAAAAACUUUUUUUAAAAUUAUAACUGAGUUACAGUGUUCUGUCAACUUCUGCUGUACCACACAGAGACCCAGUUAUGUGUACAUAUAUAUAUACACACAUUCUUUUUCUCACAUUAUUGUCCAUCAUGUUUCAUCACAAGUGAUUAGGUAUAUAGUUCCCUGUGCUCUGCAAAGGAUCCCACUGCCCAUCCACUCCAAAUGCAACAGUUUUCAUCUACUAAAAGACUUGGACAUUUUAGAUUAAAGUAUUUAAAGGGCAGCUUUGGAUACAGGGACAUUAGUUUAUGAAACCCAAACGAGGCUUAAUUCUGUGCUGUUUGGAACCAGUAUCAUCUAAUGGGCAGUUUUCAGUUUCAAGUCUGGUUCAAGACUGACUAUGCAGCUUUGAGUUUAGGUCAGUGUCACCUGGAAUGCAUCUUCUAUCUAUUUUGCAUGACCUUCUUUUUUGUCUGAGAGCCCUCCACUGUAGCAUCCUACCUAAAAUAUUUCCCCCCAAAGUGCACCAUUCUUUGUUUCACUUAAUAACUACCUGUAUUUGAAAGGAAAAACAUUUAAGUGUUGACAGCAGUUCUCUGAGAGUCUAAAGUACCUGGCAUACAUCUUGGCAGAGUUUUUAUUAAAGAGAAAGAGCAAAGGAACAAAGAAGAAAUCUAAAGAAGGAGCUAGACUUUUAGUUGAAACUGAGAAGGUAACCUCUCCCCCUCUUGCCCUCAUAAACAUUAAGUAUAUAUAUUUUAUAGUGAUAUUUUUAGCUCAUUCUGAUAUAUAUUGAUUUGCUUCCUGUGAGUCAUUAUCCGUUUCUUCUAUGUUAAAAAAACAUAUUAAAUAUCAAUGUGGUGAUAUAAAUAUAUAUGUGUGGGUGGAUGGGAGAGUGAAGGGAAUUUUCUUUUGAAUUCCGAGAAGGGAAAUAGCUUUCUCCUCAGUUCCCACAUCAUCCAUCAACUCAUCACAUCUUCAAUCUGCUCCAUUUUCUCCCUCAAAACAAAACUGAACAAUCACUUCUAACUUUACUUGAGAAAAAGAGGUUUCAGAAAGUUCUGGAGAUGGCCUGUUUUUUGGGGGGACUGUUGAUUUUUUUUGUAGCCCCGAUUCUGAAGAGAUGUCCAGUUGCUAUUUCCAUUUUGGGCAGUAGAGGGCAGACGUCUCCAGUCCUGCCCACCCAAGAUUGGCCCCGGCAACAUUAUGUUUAUGCAAACAGCCUUUGACAUAAUAGCUUUGAAACAGCUGAAAAUUGAAUUGUGCCUUGAGGCCAAACAUCUAGACCACCACCUUUGUUAUAUUCAUCUGCCACAGUAAAUUGGGUUCACCAUUGGCUCCGGGAGCCGGUUUUUCCUAGAUUCCAGCCCCACAAUAACUCCGCGUAGGAGAAAGACAAAUGUGACUUCUUUACACAAAACAUUGGCAGAGUUUCAUUUCACAGACUCUUAUCUGAGAGACUGGAGAUUGCAGUGUGGAUUUCUCUGGCCAUCU
rnacentral:lncRNA from 1 species